AGGGAGUGCCCAGAUGUUUUGAUGUUUUAUCAUCCUUGUGGGAGGCUUCUCUCGUGUCCCCGCAUGAGGAGCUGGAGCUGAUAGAGGAAGCUCAUCCACACACUCCCCAGAUUCAAACCUGCAACCUGUUGGUCUUCAGUCCUGCCGGCACUGUGGUUUAACCCACUGUGCCACCGGGGCUCCUUUGCAGUGUGGCCCAGUCCUUCACUCAAAUCAGUGCGCAUGGCUCAAGCUUCUUGACUGAUGUAUCCUUCCCCAACAAGGCUGUAAGGGUAAAGAGGCUGAUUUGAAAGAAAUAGUGUUCUGUUAUGGAGGUGCAAAGAUUACUGCAGAUGCAGACUGCAGCCAGGAAAUCAGAAGACACUUACUUCUUGGGAGGAGAACAAUGUCCAAUCUCGAUAAAAUAUUGAAGAGUAGAGACAUCACACUGGCAACGAAGAUCCGCAUAGUUAAAGCACCUAGGGAUGUGAGAGUUGGAUGAUAGGGAAGGCUGAGUGAAGGAAGAUAGAUGCUUUUGAACUGUGGUGUUGAAGGAAAGUUCUGAGAGUGCCUUGGACUGCCAGAAAAUCCAACCAGUCCAUUCUCCAGGAAAUAAAGCCCGACUGCUCACUGGAGGGAAGGAUAUUAGUGGCAAAGAUGAAGUAUUUUGGACACAUAAUGAGAAGAUAAUUAUGCUGGGGAAAAUGGAAGGAAAAAGGAAGGAAGGCCGACCAAGGGCAAGAUGGAUGGAUGGGAUCCUUGAAGUGACUGGAUUGACCUUGAAGGAGCUGGGGGUGGUGACGGCCGACGGGGAGCAAGAAAGCUUUGAAAUAUUGAGCUCAAUUACUUAUGGUGCUAAAAGAAACUGUUAAGUUUUAAAUCAUGAUGAAAUCAGAAUCUUACUUAUUGAGGAUGCUGGGCAAUUAUUGUAUUUACCUGAAUGUAAUGUGCAUCUUUUUUGGCUUAAUUGUUCAGUCAAAAUGGAGAUGCACAUUACAUUCAAUGGCGCAUUACAAUUGUGUGCCAAAAGGUGCCUGUGCCCUUAUAUCAGGUUGAUCCUAGCAAAUCUGCCAGGCCCUGCCUAAUGGUGGAGCAGCGCCUUCCCACCCCAAGCCCUUUUUCUUUCAUCUCUCAGCUAAGAGAUGGAGAAACUGUGCUCCUUCCCUCUUGAAGCUCCAUCUCCUUUGCCUCUAUAAACUUUGCCUGGUGGAAGGAUUCUGCUUUUCCUUCCUUCUUUAGCAAUUUUUUAAUGUGCACCUCAAAAUUGAGAUUUGAUGGCUCACUAGAUUAAUUUGAAUAUGGUAUCUAGAAAGAAAACAAGUAAUAUUUCUACUAUAUAUGAUAGAUUAUUACUGCAGUGAACAUCAUGUCCAGAGGAGGGCGACUAAAAAUGAUCAAGGGUCUGGAGAACAAGCCCUAUGAGGAGCAGCUUAAAGAGCUGGGCAUGUUUAAUCUGAAGAAGAGAAGACUGAGAGGAGACAUGAUAGCCAUGUAUAGAUACGUGAGAGGAAGUCAUAGGGUGGAGGGAGCAAACUUGUUUUCUGCUGCCCUGGAGACUAGGACGUGGAACAAUGGCUUCAAACUACAAGAGAGGAGAUUCCAUCUGAACAUGAGGAAGAACUUCCUGACUGUGAGAGCCAUUCAGCAGUGGAACUCUCCGGAGUGUAGUGGAGGCUCCUUCUUUAGAGGCUUUUAAACAGAGGCUGGAUGGCCAUCUGUUGG